UACGAAGGGGGGCUAGCGUUGCUCGGAAUCACUGGGCGUAAAGGGUGCGUAGGCGGGUCUUUUAAGUCAGGGGGUGAAAUCCUGGAGCUCAACUCCAGAACUGCCUUUGAUACUGGGGAUCUCGAUCCGGAAGAGGUAAGUGGAACUCCGAGUGUAGAGGUGAAAUUCGUAGAUAUUCGGAAGAACACCAGUAGCGAAGGCGGCACUCUGGGCCGGUACUGACGCUGAGGAGCGAAAGCGUGGGGAGCAAACAGGAUUAGAA
rnacentral:rRNA from 1 species